rnacentral:tRNA from 1 species
GUCUUUGUAGUAUAAUAAUAAUAUACUGAUUUUGUAAUUCAGAGAAGAGGGAUAUUAAUACCUUCUAAGNNN